AGAAUGAACGCUGGCGGCGUGCUUAACACAUGCAAGUCGAACGAGGCGGAGGGGGCAACCCCUCCAGUCGAGUGGCGGACGGGUGAGUAACACGUGGGUAACCUGCCCGGAAGUGGGGAACACCUCGGGGAAACUCGAGCUAAUACCGCAUGACAUCUUCGGGACGAAAGUCCUGACGAUCAAAGCGGGGCCGCAAGGCCUCGCGCUUCCGGAUGGGCCCGCGCCCGAUUAGCUAGUGGCGAGGUAACGCUCGCCAAGGCUUCGAUC
rnacentral:rRNA from 1 species